rnacentral:rRNA from 1 species
AUGGGCCGCAUUGGGAACGAUCCUGUAAAUCGUGUCUCUGAGUUAUUUGAUCAGGAGAGUGGUACGUGGGAUGUGGACUUAGUACGAAGGAAUUUUCUUGCACCAGACGCGGACGCAAUUCUGAAUAUACCGCUGAGAGUGCCUGGUGGCGAGGAUUAUCUCGCAUGGGACUUGGAAAGGUCCGGUGUCUACUCUGUUAAAACAGCUUAUCGUGCUCUAGUGACUCGGAAAGAAUGCUUAGCUCUAGAGGAAGGAACGAUAGCGGAGUCUUCAACGUCAGAUAGACCCAUGUGGAUCGCCUUGUGGAAACUAAAGGUUAUUCCUAGAGUCCGUGUUUUCUGGUGGCGGGUCUUGCGUGGAAUUCUACCAGACUAUGCUACCCUUCAGCAUCGGCAUAUCCGGACGACAUCAGUGUGUGAUUUGUGCAAGGCCUCAAUGGAAGAUCUGCGACAUGCACUGAUAAAUUGCUCACAUGCCAGACUUUUUUGGGCAGCAGCCCGAGAUUUUUUGGGUUUGAAACUACCCAGGUUACACCCUGCCACUUGGGCAAGGGAUGUGUUGAUGGACGAGAUCAUACAAGACCAAGACAGAUGCAAAAUUAUAACGGUCAUGCAUGCGAUAUGGUCUGAUCGGAAUUGA